rnacentral:rRNA from 1 species
UACGGAGGGUGCGAGCGUUGUCCGGAAUCAUUGGGCGUAAAGGGCGCGUAGGCGGCGCAACAAGUCACUUGUGAAAUCUCCGGGCUUAACCCGGAGCGGUCAAGUGAUACUGUCGUGCUAGAGUGCGGAAGGGGCUACUGGAAUUCUCGGUGUAGCGGUGAAAUGCGUAGAUAUCGAGAGGAACACCUGCGGCGAAGGCGGGUUGCUGGGCUGACACUGACGCUGAGGCGCGAAAGCUAGGGGAGCGAACGGG